rnacentral:rRNA from 1 species
AAAUGACUGGCGGCAGCUUACACAUGCAGUCGAACGGUAGCAGGAAGAAAGCUUGCUUUCUUUGCUGACGAGUGGCGGACGGGUGAGUAAUGCUUGGGAAUCUGGCUUAUGGAGGGGGAUAACUGUGGGAAACUGCAGCUAAUACCGCGUAUUCUCUGAGGAGGAAAGGGUGGGACCUUAGGGCCACCUGCCAUAAGAUGAGCCCAAGUGGGAUUAGGUAGUUGGUGGGGUAAAGGCCUACCAAGCCGACGAUCUCUAGCUGGUCUGAGAGGAUGAUCAGCCACACUGGAACUGAGACACGGUCCAGACUCCUACGGGAGGCAGCAGUGGGGAAUAUUGCGCAAUGGGGGGAACCCUGACGCAGCCAUGCCGCGUGAAUGAAGAAGGCCUUAGGGUUGUAAAGUUCUUUCGGUGAUGAGGAAGGCGAUUAAUUGAAGAGAUUAAUUGAUUGACGAUAAUCACAGAAGAAGCACCGGCUAACUCCGUGCCAGCAGCCGCGGUAAU